UACGAAGGGGGCUAGCAUUGUUCGGAUUUACUGGGCGUAAAGCGCACGUAGGCGGAUUGUUAAGUCUGAUGUGAAAGCCCACGGCUCAACCGUGGAGGGUCAUUGGAAACUGGGGAACUGGAGUGCAGGAGAGGGGAGUGGAAUUCCUGGUGUAGCGGUGAAAUGCGUAGAUAUCAGGAGGAACACCAGUGGCGAAGGCGGCUCUCUGGCCUGUAACUGACGCUGAGGCGCGAAAGCGUGGGGAGCGAACAGG
rnacentral:rRNA from 1 species